AUUGACGGGGACCCGCACAAGCGGUGGAGCAUGUGGUUUAAUUUGACGAUACGCGUAGAACCUUACCCACUCUUGACAUCCUCAGCAAAGCUAUAGAGAUAUAGUGGAGGUUAACUGAGUGACAGAUGGUGCAUGGUUGUCGUCAGCUCGUGUCGUGAGAUGUUCGGUUAAGUCCUGCAACGAGCGCAACCCCUAUCCUUAUUUACUAACAUUAAGUUGAGAACUAUACGGAUACUGUCUAGGUAACUAGAAGGAAGGUGGGGACGACGUCAAAUCAUCAUGCCUCUUACGAGUGGGGCAACACACGUGCUACAAUGGCCGGUACAAAGAGAAGCAAUAUAGUGAUAUGGAGCAAAUCUGAAAAACCGGUCUCAGUUCGGAUUGAAGGCUGCAAUUCGCACACUUCAUGAAGUCGGAAUCGCUAGUAAUCGUAGAUUA
rnacentral:rRNA from 1 species